GACGAACGCUGGCGGCGUGCCUAAUACAUGCAAGUCGAGCGUAGCGGCGGAUGGGGGAGUAACGCGUGGGUAACCUGCCCUUAAGUUUGGGAUACCAUUUGGAAACAGAUGCUAAUACCGGAUACUUAAGGAUGGACCUGCGAUGCAUUAGCUAGUUGGUAAGGUAACGGCUUACCAAGGCGAUGAUGCAUAGCCGAGUUGAGAGACUGAUCGGCCACAUUGGGACUGAGACACGGCCCAGACUCCUACGGGAGGCAGCAGUGGGGAAUCUUCCACAAUGGACGAAAGUCUGAUGGAGCAACGCCGCGUGUGUGAAGAAGGUCUUCGGGUCGUAAAGCUCUGUUGUUGGUGAAGCGGUAAUGAACGAAAAAGUAACGGCUAACUACGUGCCAGCAGCCGCGGUAAUAC
rnacentral:rRNA from 1 species